GUCAGGGUCCACCCUUCCCAGUCCUCAUUUAAGGGUUGGCAGUGGAGGUGAGGGUAUUUUGCUGGAGAUCCUUGUUUACCUGAGGUAUUGUGAAGGAAGGAAUUCUGGGGUGAUUAUUGCUGCUUCUACUUUCUGAAGUGAGAUAGAUUGUAAAGCAGGUACAUCAAAGGCAGACGUCUCUAGAGUGCUAAAGAAGAAUGUAAAGCUGCACCCUGCUUAUCAAGUCUGGUUGGAAAGCCCCUGCAAGUCUGAAGUCAGAUUCAGAAGAAUCAAGAAAGUGUAAGCUGUCCUAAUUGUUAGAGCC
ensembl:lncRNA